AUUCACCUGAAAAGUUCAAAAUAGGACGAAACGCGCUUUCUGAAU
rnacentral:hammerhead_ribozyme from 1 species